AUUGAACGCUGGCGGCAGGCCUAACACAUGCAAGUCGAGCGAGCGGCGGACGGGUGAGUAAUGUCUGGGAAACUGCCUGAUGGAGGGGGAUAACUACUGGAAACGGUAGCUAAUAACGCAUACCAUCAGAUGUGCACAGAUGGGAUUAGCUGGUAGGUGGGGUACAGGCUCACCUAGGCGACUAGACCUCGCUGGUCUGAGAGGAUGACCAGCAACACGGGAACGGUGACACGUUCCAGACUCCUAAGGGAGGCAGCAGUGGGUAAUAUUUCACAAUUGGCGCAAGCCUGAUGCAGCCAUGCCGCGUGGGUUAAGAAGGCCUUCGGGUUGUAAAGCACUUUCAGCGGGGAGGCGUUACCCGCAGAAGAAGCACCGGCUAACUCCGUGCCAGCAGCCGCGGUAAUUC
rnacentral:rRNA from 1 species